GGUUAAGCGACUAAGCGUACACGGUGGAUGCCCUGGCAGUCAGAGGCGAUGAAGGACGUGCUAAUCUGCGAUAAGCGUCGGUAAGGUGAUAUGAACCGUUAUAACCGGCGAUUUCCGAAUGGGGAAACCCAGUGUGUUUCGACACACUAUCAUUAACUGAAUCCAUAGGUUAAUGAGGCGAACCGGGGGAACUGAAACAUCUAAGUACCCCGAGGAAAAGAAAUCAACCGAGAUUCCCCCAGUAGCGGCGAGCGAACGGGGAGCAGCCCAGAGCCUGAAUCAGUAUGUGUGUUAGUGGAAGCGUCUGGAAAGGCGCGCGAUACAGGGUGACAGCCCCGUACACAAAAAUGCACAUGCUGUGAGCUCGAUGAGUAGGGCGGGACACGUGGUAUCCUGUCUGAAUAUGGGGGGACCAUCCUCCAAGGCUAAAUACUCCUGACUGACCGAUAGUGAACCAGUACCGUGAGGGAAAGGCGAAAAGAACCCCGGCGAGGGGAGUGAAAAAGAACCUGAAACCGUGUACGUACAAGCAGUGGGAGCACGCUUAGGCGUGUGACUGCGUACCUUUUGUAUAAUGGGUCAGCGACUUAUAUUCUGUAGCAAGGUUAACCGAAUAGGGGAGCCGAAGGGAAACCGAGUCUUAACUGGGCGUUAAGUUGCAGGGUAUAGACCCGAAACCCGGUGAUCUAGCCAUGGGCAGGUUGAAGGUUGGGUAACACUAACUGGAGGACCGAACCGACUAAUGUUGAAAAAUUAGCGGAUGACUUGUGGCUGGGGGUGAAAGGCCAAUCAAACCGGGAGAUAGCUGGUUCUCCCCGAAAGCUAUUUAGGUAGCGCCUCGUGAAUUCAUCUCCGGGGGUAGAGCACUGUUUCGGCAAGGGGGUCAUCCCGACUUACCAACCCGAUGCAAACUGCGAAUACCGGAGAAUGUUAUCACGGGAGACACACGGCGGGUGCUAACGUCCGUCGUGAAGAGGGAAACAACCCAGACCGCCAGCUAAGGUCCCAAAGUCAUGGUUAAGUGGGAAACGAUGUGGGAAGGCCCAGACAGCCAGGAUGUUGGCUUAGAAGCAGCCAUCAUUUAAAGAAAGCGUAAUAGCUCACUGGUCGAGUCGGCCUGCGCGGAAGAUGUAACGGGGCUAAACCAUGCACCGAAGCUGCGGCAGCGACGCUGAUGCGUUGUUGGGUAGGGGAGCGUUCUGUAAGCCUGCGAAGGUGUGCUGUGAGGCAUGCUGGAGGUAUCAGAAGUGCGAAUGCUGACAUAAGUAACGAUAAAGCGGGUGAAAAGCCCGCUCGCCGGAAGACCAAGGGUUCCUGUCCAACGUUAAUCGGGGCAGGGUGAGUCGACCCCUAAGGCGAGGCCGAAAGGCGUAGUCGAUGGGAAACAGGUUAAUAUUCCUGUACUUGGUGUUACUGCGAAGGGGGGACGGAGAAGGCUAUGUUGGCCGGGCGACGGUUGUCCCGGUUUAAGCGUGUAGGCUGGUUUUCCAGGCAAAUCCGGAAAAU
rnacentral:rRNA from 1 species